AAACAGUAAGUUUAUCAGAUCAAUUAUGAAUAAAUUCUAAAUAUGCAAGGUUAGCAUGCCUAAUACAGUAACUUAAUCUCUUUCUAUCAGAAACAUCAGAUCAAUCACAUUAUGCAAACAUCCAGCAGGUUCAAGAGGCCAGAAAAGAUCAAAUCAUCUAUGAGAAUGAUCAUGAGUUCAGAAAAAUAUAUCCA